CAGCACCUCAAGUGGUCAGGAUGAUUAUUGGGCCUAAAGCAUCCGUAGCCGGCUCUGUAAGUUUUCGGUUAAAUCUGUAUGCUCAACAUACAGGCUGCCGGGAAUACUGCAGAGCUAGGGAGUGGGAGAGGUAGAUGGUACUCGGUAGGAAGGGGUAAAAUCCUUUGAUCUAUUGAUGACCACCUGUGGCGAAGGCGGUCUACCAGAACACGUCCGACGGUGAGGGAUGAAAGCUGGGGGAGCAAACCGGAUUAGAGACCCGAGUAGUCC
rnacentral:rRNA from 1 species